UUGAUGGAUAGUAUGAAUGGUAUAACGAAUAUAACACUGUCUCAAUAAAAAUCUUAUGAAAUUAGAAUAAUAGUAAAGAUACUAUUUUAAACUGUAAGACGAGAAGACCCUAUAGAGCUUAACUAUAACUCUUUGAUAAUUAGUAAACUAGUUUAUUACUAAAAAGAGAUAGGUAGUUUAGUUGGGGCGACUAUUUUCUAAAAUUAACGAAAAUAAACAAGAAUUAAUUAAAAAAAUUUACUGUUUAAUUAAUAAAUUUAACAGUUAUUAUAAUAGGUAAUAAUGACCCGUUAACAAUUAAUAAUAAUGUUAACGAUCAAUAGAUAAAAGCUACCUUAGGGAUAACAGGAUAAUUUUGUU
rnacentral:rRNA from 1 species